rnacentral:tRNA from 1 species
UAGCCUAGUGGUUGAGGCUAUGGAUUGCUAAUCCGGAGAUGGCGGGUUCGAUUCCCGU